CUCGUAUUCGAUGUUUCCAGACACCAGGUCAUUGCCGCAGUUUUCACAUUGAGGAACGCCCGGCUUUGUUCCGUUCUUGCAACAACGGAUGAACGCUGCCUUUCGGACGGCCUGUGGAAACUCCUUGCGUGAGGUGCCGCGCAGCUUCAUGCCGACUCCGUGUCGUGGAAGGCCACGCCAUGCUGCGCACCGAAUGCUGCGAUUAUUUCCAUCAAGUCGCCCAUUUCAUCCUUUGAGAGAUCGGACGAUGAGCGACCCAGGUUUACGAAUCCCGUUCCGUCAAUAUUAGG
rnacentral:misc_RNA from 1 species